rnacentral:rRNA from 1 species
UGACGAACGCUGGCGGCGUGCCUAAUACAUGCAAGUAGAACGCUGAAGAGAGGAGCUUGCUCUUCUUGGAUGAGUUGCGAACGGGUGAGUAACGCGUAGGUAACCUGCCUUGUAGUGGGGGAUAACUAUUGGAAACGAUAGCUAAUACCGCAUAACAAUGGAUGACACAUGUCAUUUAUUUGAAAGGGGCAAUUGCUCCACUACAAGAUGGACCUGCGUUGUAUUAGCUAGUAGGUGAGGUAACGGCUCACCUAGGCGACGAUACAUAGCCGACCUGAGAGGGUGAUCGGCCACACUGGGACUGAGACACGGCCCAGACUCCUACGGGAGGCAGCAGUAGGGAAUCUUCGGCAAUGGGGGCAACCCUGACCGAGCAACGCCGCGUGAGUGAAGAAGGUUUUCGGAUCGUAAAGCUCUGUUGUAAGUCAAGAACGAGUGUGAGAGUGGAAAGUUCACACUGUGACGGUAGCUUACCAGAAAGGGACGGCUAACUACGUGCCAGCAGCCGCGGUAAUACGUAGGUCCCGAGCGUUGUCCGGAUUUAUUGGGCGUAAAGCGAGCGCAGGCGGUUUGAUAAGUCUGAAGUUAAAGGCUGUGGCUCAACCAUAGUUCGCUUUGGAAACUGUCAAACUUGAGUGCAGAAGGGGAGAGUGGAAUUCCAUGUGUAGCGGUGAAAUGCGUAGAUAUAUGGAGGAACACCGGUGGCGAAAGCGGCUCUCUGGUCUGUAACUGACGCUGAGGCUCGAAAGCGUGGGGAGCGAACAGGAUUAGAUACCCUGGUAGUCCACGCCGUAAACGAUGAGUGCUAGGUGUUGGAUCCUUUCCGGGAUUCAGUGCCGCAGCUAACGCAUUAAGCACUCCGCCUGGGGAGUACGACCGCAAGGUUGAAACUCAAAGGAAUUGACGGGGGCCCGCACAAGCGGUGGAGCAUGUGGUUUAAUUCGAAGCAACGCGAAGAACCUUACCAGGUCUUGACAUCCCGAUGCUAUUUCUAGAGAUAGAAAGUUACUUCGGUACAUCGGUGACAGGUGGUGCAUGGUUGUCGUCAGCUCGUGUCGUGAGAUGUUGGGUUAAGUCCCGCAACGAGCGCAACCCCUAUUGUUAGUUGCCAUCAUUCAGUUGGGCACUCUAGCGAGACUGCCGGUAAUAAACCGGAGGAAGGUGGGGAUGACGUCAAAUCAUCAUGCCCCUUAUGACCUGGGCUACACACGUGCUACAAUGGUUGGUACAACGAGUUGCGAGUCGGUGACGGCAAGCUAAUCUCUUAAAGCCAAUCUCAGUUCGGAUUGUAGGCUGCAACUCGCCUACAUGAAGUCGGAAUCGCUAGUAAUCGCGGAUCAGCACGCCGCGGUGAAUACGUUCCCGGGCCUUGUACACACCGCCCGUCACACCACGAGAGUUUGUAACACCCGAAGUCAAAGAGGUAACCUUUUGGAGCCAGCCGCCUAAG